AGCGAACGCUGGCGGCAUGCUUAACACAUGCAAGUCGCACGGGCAGGGGAAACUCUGUCAGUGGCGGACGGGUGAGUAACGCGUAGGUAUCUAUCCUUGGGUGGGGGACAACGGCUGGAAACGGCUGCUAAUACCGCAUGAUGUCUGAGGACUAAAGGCGCGAGUCGCCUGAGGAGGAGCCUGCGUACGAUUAGCUAGUUGGUGGGGUAAAGCCUACCAAGGCNGUGAUCGUUAGCUGGUCUGAGAGGAUGAUCAGCCACAUUGGGACUGAGACACGGCCCAAACUCCUACGGGAGGCAGCAGUGGGGAAUAUUGGACAAUGGGCGCAAGCCUGAUCCAGCAAUGCCGCGUGUGUGAAGAAGGUCUUCGGAUUGUAAAGCACUUUCGGAC
rnacentral:rRNA from 1 species